UGUAUAUCUGUAAGUAUUAUAUACCAGUACCUUUAUGUUAACGUCUAGUUCUUUAGUGAAUCUUUCACAACAUCUAUAUUAUAUUAUGGCGUUUGCCUUUUUAUAAAUAUUGUUUUCUAUAUGUGGUAAAACGCAAAAAUUGGGUGCAAGCUUCAACUCUGUGAUCCUAACUGCAGAAAUUAAAAAAGGACCCAGUGUCAUCUAUUUUUUUAUACAAACAAGGAAAAAAGAUGCCAUAUCACACGAAUAAAUGUUGCAUCAACUUAAGACGAUAAGAUGUUGAUAACGGUAUGAAUCAAUAAAAUAAAAGACAGUCUUGAUCAAUAUUUAGACUUUAAACAACAGACCAAACCAUUACCAGAGAAAAACUGUGUUUGAAAAGAAUGGUGUUGCAUAAGAAAUGUACGCAGAAUUACAAG